UAAGCAUAUCAAUAAGCGGAGGAAAAGAAACCAACAGGGAUUGCCCUAGUAACGGCGAGUGAAGCGGCAACAGCUCAAAUUUGAAAUCUGGCUCUUUCAGAGUCCGAGUUGUAAUUUGCAGAGGGCGCUUUGGCUUUGGCAGCGGUCCAAGUUCCUUGGAACAGGACGUCACAGAGGGUGAGAAUCCCGUACGUGGUCGCUAGCUAUUGCCGUGUAAAGCCCCUUCGACGAGUCGAGUUGUUUGGGAAUGCAGCUCUAAAUGGGAGGUAAAUUUCUUCUAAAGCUAAAUAUUGGCCAGAGACCGAUAGCGCACAAGUAGAGUGAUCGAAAGAUGAAAAGCACUUUGGAAAGAGAGUCAAACAGCACGUGAAAUUGUUGAAAGGGAAGCGCUUGCAGCCAGACUUGCUUGCAGUUGCUCAUCCGGGCUUUUGCCCGGUGCACUCUUCUGUAGGCAGGCCAGCAUCAGUUUGGGCGGUGGGAUAAAGGUCUCUGUCACGUACCUCUCUUCGGGGAGGCCUUAUAGGGGAGACGACAUACCACCAGCCUAGACUGAGGUCCGCGCAUCUGCUAGGAUGCUGGCGUAAUGGCUGUAAGCGGCCCGUCUUGAAACACGGACCAAGGAGUCUAACAUCUAUGCGAGUGUUUGGGUGUCAAGCCCGAGCGCGUAAUGAAAGUGAACGGAGGUGGGAACCCGCAAGGGUGCACCAUCGACCGAUCCUGAAGUUUACGGAAGGAUUUGAGUAAGAGCAUGGCUGUUGGGACCCGAAAGAUGGUGAACUAUGCUUGAAUAGGGUGAAGCCAGAGGAAACUCUGGUGGAGGCUCGCAGCGGUUCUGACGUGCAAAUCGAUCGUCAAAUUUGGGCAUAGGGGCGAAAGACUAAUCGAACUAUCUAGUAGCUGGUUCCUGCCGA
rnacentral:rRNA from 1 species